UGCANGUCGAGCGGACAGAAGGGAGCUUGCUCCCGGAUGUUAGCGGCGGACGGGUGAGUAACACGUGGGUAACCUGCCUGUAAGACUGGGAUAACUCCGGGAAACCGGAGCUAAUACCGGAUAGUUCCUUGAACCGCAUGGUUCAAGGAUGAAAGACGGUUUCGGCUGUCACUUACAGAUGGACCCGCGGCGCAUUAGCUAGUUGGUGGGGUAAUGGCUCACCAAGGCGACGAUGCGUAGCCGACCUGAGAGGGUGAUCGGCCACACUGGGACUGAGACACGGCCCAGACUCCUACGGGAGGCAGCAGUAGGGAAUCUUCCGCAAUGGACGAAAGUCUGACGGAGCAACGCCGCGUGAGUGAUGAAGGUUUUCGGAUCGUAAAGCUCUGUUGUUAGGGAAGAACAAGUGCGAGAGUAACUGCUCGCACCUUGACGGUACCUAACCAGAAAGCCACGGCUAACUACGUGCCAGCAGCCGCGGUAAUACGUAGGUGGCAAGCGUUGUCCGGGAAUUAUUGGGCGUAAAGGGCUCGCAGGCGGUUUCUUAAGUCUGAUGUGAAAGCCCCCGGCUCAACCGGGGAGGGUCAUUGGAAACUGGGAAACUUGAGUGCAGAAGAGGAGAGUGGAAUUCCACGUGUAGCGGUGAAAUGCGUAGAGAUGUGGAGGAACACCAGUGGCGAAGGCGACUCUCUGGUCUGUAACUGACGCUGAGGAGCGAAAGCGUGGGGAGCGAACAGGAUUAGAUACCCUGGUAGUCCACGCCGUAAACGAUGAGUGCUAAGUGUUAGGGGGUUUCCGCCCCUUAGUGCUGCAGCUAACGCAUUAAGCACUCCGCCUGGGGAGUACGGUCGCAAGACUGAAACUCAAAGGAAUUGACGGGGGCCCGCACAAGCGGUGGAGCAUGUGGUUUAAUUCGAAGCAACGCGAAGAACCUUACCAGGUCUUGACAUCCUCUGACAACCCUAGAGAUAGGGCUUUCCCUUCGGGGACAGAGUGACAGGUGGUGCAUGGUUGUCGUCAGCUCGUGUCGUGAGAUGUUGGGUUAAGUCCCGCAACGAGCGCAACCCUUGAUCUUAGUUGCCAGCAUUUAGUUGGGCACUCUAAGGUGACUGCCGGUGACAAACCGGAGGAAGGUGGGGAUGACGUCAAAUCAUCAUGCCCCUUAUGACCUGGGCUACACACGUGCUACAAUGGACAGAACAAAGGGCUGCAAGACCGCAAGGUUUAGCCAAUCCCAUAAAUCUGUUCUCAGUUCGGAUCGCAGUCUGCAACUCGACUGCGUGAAGCUGGAAUCGCUAGUAAUCGCGGAUCAGCAUGCCGCGGGUGAAUACGUUCCCGGGCCUUGUACACACCGCCCGUCACACCACGAGAGUUUGCAACACCCGAAGUCGGUGAGGUAACCUUUAUGGAGCCAGCCGCCGAANUGGGGCAGAUGAUUGGGGUG
rnacentral:rRNA from 1 species